GAUCAUGGCUCAGGAUGAACGCUGGCGGCGUGCCUAACACAUGCAAGUCGAACGAAGCACUUAGACAGAACCUUCGGGUGACGUAUGGUGACUGAGUGGCGGACGGGUGAGUAACGCGUGGGUAACCUGCCCUGUACAGGGGGAUAACAGUUAGAAAUGACUGCUAAUACCGCAUAAGCGCACGAUGGUAGCAUUACCAGGUGUGAAAAACUCCGGGUGGUACAGGAUGGGCCCCGCGUCUGAUUAGCUAGUUGGCGGGGUAAGAGCCCACCAAGGCGACGAUCAGUAGCCGGUCUGAGAGGAUGAACGGCCACAUUGGAACUGAGACACGGUCCAAACUCCUACGGGAGGCAGCAGUGGGGAAUAUUGCACAAUGGGGGGAACCCUGAUGCAGCAAACCGCCGCGUGAGUGACGAAGUAUUUCGGUAUGUAAAGCUCUAUCAGCAGGGAAGAUAAUGACGGUACCUGACUAAGAAGCUCCGGCUAAAUACGUGCCAGCAGCCGC
rnacentral:rRNA from 1 species